rnacentral:rRNA from 1 species
GUGGGGAAUAUUGGACAAUGGGGGGAACCCUGAUCCAGCCAUGCCGCGUGUGUGAAGAAGGCCUUUUGGUUGUAAAGCACUUUAAGCGAGGAGGAGGCUACCGAGAUUAAUACUCUUGGAUAGUGGACGUUACUCGCAGAAUAAGCACCGGCUAACUCUGUGCCAGCAGCCGCGGUAAUACAGAGGGUGCAAGCGUUAAUCGGAUUUAUUGGGCGUAAAGCGCGCGUAGGUGGCCAAUUAAGUAAAAUGUGAAAUCCCAGAGCUGAACUUGGGAAUUGCAUUCGUUACUGGUUGGCUAGAGUAUGGGAGAGGAUGGUAGAAUUCCAGGUGUAGCGGUGAAAUGCGUAGAGAUCUGGAGGAAUACCGAUGGCGAAGGCAGCCAUCUGGCCUAAUACUGACACUGAGGUGCGAAAGCAUGGGGAGCAAACAGGAUUAGAAACCCUUGUAGUCC